AGGACGAACGCUGGCGGCGUGCUUAACACAUGCAAGUGGAGCGACGAACCAGGGCUUGCCCUGGGGCAGAGCCGCGAACGGGUGAGUAACACGUGGGUUACCUGCCUUGAUGACCGGGACAACCCGAGGAAACUCGGGCUAAUACCGGAUGUGCCCGCAAGGGGAAAGGAAGCUUCGGCCUCCGCAUCAAGAUGGGCCCGCGGCCCAUUAGCUAGUUGGUGAGGUAACGGCUCACCAAGGCUUCGAUGGGUAGCUGGUCUGAGAGGACGAUCAGCCACACUGGGACUGAGACACGGCCCAGACUCCUACGGGAGGCAGCAGUGGGGAAUCUUGCGCAAUGCGCGAAAGCGUGACGCAGCAACGCCGCGUGGGGGAAGAAGGCUUUCGGGUUGUAAACCCCUUUCAGUUGGGACGAAGCUUCUCCGGUGAAUAGCCGGACGGAGUGACGGUACCUUCACAAGAAGCACGGCUAACUACGUGCCAGCAGCCGC
rnacentral:rRNA from 1 species